UACGGAGGGGCUAGCGUUGUUCGGAAUUACUGGGCGUAAAGCGCACGUAGGCGGCUUUGUAAGAUCCAGAGGUGGAAAGCCCGGAGACUUUAACUCCGGAAUUGCCUUUGAGACUAGCAUCGCUUGAAUCAGGAGAGGUGAGUGGAAUUCCGAGUGUAAGAGGUGAAAUUCGUAGAUAUUCGGGAAGAACACCAGUGGCGAAGGCGGCUCACUGGACUGG
rnacentral:rRNA from 1 species